CUGAAACCGUGUACGUACAAGCAGUGGGAGCCUUGAUUUAUCAGGGUGACUGCGUACCUUUUGUAUAAUGGGUCAGCGACUUAUAUUCUGUAGCAAGGUUAACCGAAUAGGGGAGCCGUAGGGAAACCGAGUCUUAACUGGGCGAAUGAGUUGCAGGGUAUAGACCCGAAACCCGGUGAUCUAGCCAUGGGCAGGUUGAAGGUUGGGUAACACUAACUGGAGGACCGAACCGACUAAUGUUGAAAAAUUAGCGGAUGACUUGUGGCUGGGGGUGAAAGGCCAAUCAAACCGGGAGAUAGCUGGUUCUCCCCGAAAGCUAUUUAGGUAGCGCCUCGUGAACUCAUCUUCGGGGGUAGAGCACUGUUUCGGCUAGGGGGUCAUCCCGACUUACCAACCCGAUGCAAACUACGAAUACCGAAGAAUGUUAUCACGGGAGACACACGGCGGGUGCUAACGUUCGUCGUGAAGAGGGAAACAACCCAGACCGCCAGCUAAGGUCCCAAAGUCAUGGUUAAGUGGGAAACGAAGUGGGAAGGCUCAGACAGCCAGGAUGUUGGCUUAGAAGCAGCCAUCAUUUAAAGAAAGCGUAAUAGCUCACUGGUCGAGUCGGCCUGCGCGGAAGAUGUAACGGGGCUAAAC
rnacentral:rRNA from 1 species